rnacentral:rRNA from 1 species
GAUGAACGCUAGCUACAGGCUUAACACAUGCAAGUCGAGGGGCAGCAUGGUCUUAGCUUGCUAAGGCCGAUGGCGACCGGCGCACGGGUGAGUAACACGUAUCCAACCUGCCGUCUACUCUUGGACAGCCUUCUGAAAGGAAGAUUAAUACAAGACUGGCAUCAUGAGUCCGCAUGUUCACAUGAUUAAAGGUAUUCCGGUAGACGAUGGGGAUGCGUUCCAUUAGAUAGUAGGCGGGGUAACGGCCCACCUAGUCUUCGACGGAUAGGGGUUCUGAGAGGAAGGUCCCCCACAUUGGAACUGAGACACGGUCCAA